rnacentral:lncRNA from 1 species
AAGAAGAGGAAGAGGAUGAAGAGGCAGCUGCGAGCAUGCUCUUCUUCUUGGCAAGAAGAAACGGGAGGUUGUUGUUGUUGUUGUUGUUGCUGUCCCUUCCCGAUGAGAGAGAUAGAGCAAGAGAGGUGGUGGAAGAAGGAGAGAAGGAUUUAGAAGAAGAGGAAGCAGAGAGGUGGUUUGGUUUAGGGAGAGGGAAAGAGGAAGUGACGAGCUUACCGAGCUUUUCUUGGAGACAUAGUGGACAGAUACCACCUGGGUUCUUUGUGUAAGGAUGUGUUGUGCAUUGCAUCCCAUCUCCCAUGUCUUGAUCUUUGAGGUCCACCAUUGCAACAAGAUAAGGAAGCAAGAAGAUGAAAACCAAAAAUCUAUGAGUCUUCUCUGUGGUUCCCUCUGUUUCUGCGUGUAAUGAAGUAGAGAUUCAGCUUUUAGGUAGCGUCUUUUGAGAGAUGGAGAGAGAGAUUACGUGUUUGUGAGUGAGAGAUGAGAGAGGAGUGUGUAGAGUUUGUAGAGAAAGAGAAAAGAGAGUCGAGUUCCCACAAGUGCACGUGAGAGUUCUGACCUGUACCGGCUCUUUAGCUCGUCUUCUUCGGAUCUUUAAUUAUAAUAGCUCUCUCAUUUUCUUAACAUAUGCACCCAAAAAAAACUCUCUCAUUUUAAUCUUUUUUUUUGGCUCCAUUAUUCUUUUUUCUUCUGGGGGUAAAAUGUUAAGAUAAGAGUCCAAUAUUCCACGUGUCUUUCUAGCUAUUUUUAGUUUUAUGAAAACACUAAUUAACUUCAUUUGUUUUUAAGUGACCAUUUACAUUACAAAAAAUUGCCGUUGUGAUUAAGAACAAAAGUUUAAUUUUAUUUUUGUAGGGUUCAACUUUUUUCACAUUUGAAGAUUUGGUGUAAUAUGUUUUAGCAAAAAAAAAAAAUCAACAAAAAGAUUUGGUGUAUUUGUAUCUGAUAAACUGGUUAGAUCUAGAUGACAAAUGUGAAAGGGAACAUUAUUGAGGAUUUAUUAAUUGAUUUUUUUAGUUUGGUUUAAAUUCAUAAACCGACAAACCCCAAGUAGCAUAAACUAUUUUAGGAUAAAUUAGUUUAAUUUGAAUCUGACCCCAAAGAAAAUAACGAUGAAUAAACUAAACAUUUGAUGUAGAAGAUCAUAGGGCCAAUAUUUGUAGCUUAAUUACAUAUAGUUAAAUAGACUCUUAAUUUGUACCCCAUUAUUUUUGGUUAAAGUGUAGAAUUUUUUCGAGCCAAAACCCAAAGCAUCGAAACUCGAACUUGCAACUUUGAGUCCCGUGUGGAAAGUCACUAGUAGAGUUACAAAUGACGGAUGAUUCUAGUUUUAUCGCUAACUAUUUUUAUUAUAUCCAUGGUUUUAGUUCACUUCACUUUUUUUAGUUAUAUCAAUUUUACAUUAAAAAAAGAAUAACUAAAACUUUUUAUCAUGUUGGAGAGGUCGAGUUUCCUCUUAAUUGAAGUUUUAUGAUGAAGAAGUCACUCUUUACUCACGGAUAUGUGCAUCAAGUAUGGAUUUUUCCAUUAUAAGGGGCUCGUACAUGUUCGGCAGUACAUUGAUCCAUUCCGACCUAUAUAUACAACCAAAUAAAUUAGAUAUAUAUGUAUAUAUAUCAAAUGUUUAGAAGUUACGUGAUAGUUACGAACAAGCACCAGCAUGGCACCAGAAUCUAAUAAUGCCUCAACUUCAACACAAAAGACACGCUUGACACUUAGCUGAAAAGCAAAAAGAAAUAAUCAUUUCUACACACACCAAGCACUGCACUGGCUGAUACUAAUUAAGUUCAUGCAUCGAUCAACAGUGCAAUAUACUUUCUAGUAACAAAAGAGAUUAAAACAACUAUAAGAUAACAACAAUGAAAUCAGUAAAGUUUUUUUAAGAUCUCAAUGGGCCAGCUACUACAUUUUGAUGUAAAAGAUGCUUCACAAAUAUUUCACAACGGAAAACUGAUCGUAUUCACAUGGUCACGUCUGAAGUAUCUAUCUUCGCAGAUUUUUGGAAUAUACAUAUGAAAAGUCCAAAGUUGGGUCCCCACGCAAAAAAAGAAGAAGAAGAAUUAUCAAAUAUAAUAAUAGAUCACAAUGAUUUAUAAUAAUAUGAAUAUGGUUACGUCAGAAGGCAGGCUCUUUUUUAUUUUGCCUUCUGUCUCUUUGCAGAAUUGUUCGUCUUUAUUUUCACCUCAGGGACCCCUUUUGAUGUACUUGUCCCGACCCUCGCCUCCACCUAUUAUAUCAUCUGAAUUUAUUUAUGUUAUCAUAACACUGUGCUGUUACAAACUUGUGGUUUUUGGUCGGGACAGCAAACUCAAUAUGUUGGCUUAGAUUAGCUGGUUGGUGAUCUAACCAUGUUAAUGAUAGUGUUGUAGAUGCUGUUGACUUCUUGUUGUGUUGCAUGUCUUACUUAAAAUUUGUGGGGCUCCAAAACAAAAUUAGAAGAUAAAACUAUUGAAUUGUUGGAAUCAUAAUGCAUGUGCGAAGCCAUGUGCCUUUUGAUUCCACUCAUUUAAUACUCAAAAACCCUAAAACCUGUUGACUGCUUUCGUUACUAUUGUAAUAGUAUUAUUAUGUACCAACACAUCUGGUUUAAGCGACACCACAAACAUAAUUUUGGGAGAAUUAGACAUAUUAAAUAAUAUAAGAAUGUAAUCAUAAAAUUUAUAACACAAAACAGCAAGUAUCCUAAGCUCAAUUCUCCUAAAGGUUUUAAGCUUUUAUAAUGAAUCAUUGAUGAUGACCAACAUCUAGCCAAUAGGCCAAACAUAGAAAUGAAAAAGAUAAAUAGUGUGACAUUACAUUACUAGUUGUACUCAAAAUAUCAAACCAAAGAACAAAUAAACAGCCUAACUAAUCACAUGAAUGGAAUAAAAGUACUUAUAAUGUAUCUCUUUUAACUUCUCAUAGUAACCAACGAAGAAACUGAGUCCAAGUUUUGAGUUGUGUUUUUAUCAGUUGAUGACUCUGUAGUAGUACCACCUUUAUGAACAGUCUUGGCUCUCAUUGGACUUGCAAACGCCCUUCCCCAUGCGCUUUUAUUCCCCAUCUUAUGAUGAUGAUGAUCAACCGUUGAUGAUGCUGAAGUUGAUGAUGAUGAUGAUGUCAUAAUCAUAAACCCACCAAAGAUACCACCACAUUUCACCAUUUCAUUCAUAGCAUCAGCUGCUUCACCACCACCACCAUUGCUAAUAACCUUUGAGUGUUCUCUUUGUGACUCAAUCCUUUUCAAGGCACAAUCUCCAAACCCGUUAGAGAUCCUCUCAAAGAAAUCACCAGAGAAGCUUCUGCUUCCACACCCCACAGAUCUAGAUCUCAACACUUUCCUCUCUAAAGACGACCCACCAGCACCACUACCAACACCGUUAGCUGGCGUCUCUACAACAACUUUGUUACUACUAGAGCUCUCAUCUUCUUCCUCCACUAUCACAUCAAUGCCUCGACCAACAACCUUGUUAGAUGUCUCUGUUGUCUGGUUUCUUGGCACCGAAGAAUGGCUAACUUUUUUGGUGGCAGCGGCGAUUUGGUGUUUGGAAGAGUAGAGAUGAAGAAACGACCAGAACCCACUUCGUUUCUUGCGGUUUAAACUCUCACCGUAAGCAGCAGCCGAAGAUUUGCUUCUCUUGUAGAUAAGACUAGCGGAAGAAGAGGAAGAGGAUGAAGAGGCAGCUGCGAGCAUGCUCUUCUUCUUGGCAAGAAGAAACGGGAGGUUGUUGUUGUUGUUGUUGUUGCUGUCCCUUCCCGAUGAGAGAGAUAGAGCAAGAGAGGUGGUGGAAGAAGGAGAGAAGGAUUUAGAAGAAGAGGAAGCAGAGAGGUGGUUUGGUUUAGGGAGAGGGAAAGAGGAAGUGACGAGCUUACCGAGCUUUUCUUGGAGACAUAGUGGGC